GGCCUACGGGGGGCAGCAGGCGCGAAAACUUUACAAUGCAGGCAACUGUGAUAAGGGAACCCCGAGUGCCCGUAUGGACGGGCUGUUCAGGUGCUUAAAAACCACCUGGAGAAAGGGCCGGGCAAGACCGGUGCCAGCCGCCGCGGUAAUACCGGCGGCUCGAGUGGUGGCCACUAUUACUGGGCUUAAAGCGUCCGUAGCUUGGUCGUUAAGCCUCUGGGGAAAUCUUCCGGCUCAACCGGAAGGCGUCUCAGGGGAACUGGCGGCCUAGGGAUCGGGAGAGGUGAGAGGUACUCUGGGGGUAGGAGUGAAAUCCUGUAAUCCUCAGGGGACCACCUGUGGCGAAGGCGUCUCACCAGAACGACUCCGACAGUGAGGGACGAAAGCUGGGGGAGCAAACCGGAUUAGAUACCCUGGUAGUCUC
rnacentral:rRNA from 1 species